AAUUGGGUUACUUGUAAGGAUUUCUACCUUGUCUCGGCGAACGGCGGCAGCAUAGUUUUCGGUGAACGUCCUUAUAGGCUAUCGUCCCGCCCAGUUUCCACCACAUCCACCAUACCCAGCUGUGGUAAGCAGGAAAAAAUGUGGUAGGGAAUGGGCUCUGAAGCCAUGCAAGCUGCUAAGGUGUAUUGCCACCUUCUUAAAGCCAUGGAGAAACACAUUUGGUAAAGUCAGUACAAAAGGCAUUUCAGAGAUUUCGUAACUCAAAGUGUUCCAAAAGAACUCUGUAUUGUUAGAUCUAUUGGCUGCUCAACAAAAACUAAACCUUGCCUGGGAUUACACUCUUCUUCUCAACAGUGUGCAUCAUCAAAAAGUCACCCCCAUUUGUUGCACCCUUUUUGAAUGGUGGAACCAGUGUUGAGGCAGAAUUUUGGGGCUUCGGUGGCAAUUAUGAGGCUUAAGUCUAUGAGACACUGGGUUGUUGAUGGACUUCACUUUUGUUAUUUCAGCUAUUUCUUUUGAUGUAAAUUAUUUAUGAAAUAUGUAGGAUGUAAAUAUUAUACAUGUGGGUUGUUAACAAAUGGAACUUGUAUAUUGUAACCUAUCAUGCAGUGGAUCACUAGUAACAUUUGUAUGAUUUUAUAUGUGUACUCUGAUUUUAGUUGUGAUUUUGGUGGCA